AAGUCGUAACAAGGUUUCCGUAGGUGAACCUGCGGAAGGAUCAUUAAAAGUAAUAUGUAUUCUCACGAAUAUACAUUAUAAACCCAUCUGUGUAUCUUACCUGUUGCUUCCGCGAGCCAGUGAUCUCGGUCACCUCCGCGGGAUGGCGAAAGCCGUCCUCCGGGGAGCACUCGCGGGGGGUAUACAUCAAACUCUUGCAUUUUUAUGUCAUCUGUCUGAACUGUUUAUAACAAAUGUUAAAACUUUCAACAACGGAUCUCUUGGUUCUC
rnacentral:misc_RNA from 1 species